UACGAAGGGGGCUAGCGUUGCUCGGAAUCACUGGGCGUAAAGCGCACGUAGGCGGCUUUUUAAGUCAGGGGUGAAAUCCUGGAGCUCAACUCCAGAACUGCCUUUGAUACUGGGGAUCUGGAGUCCGGGAGAGGUGAGCGGAACUGCGAGUGUAGAGGUGAAAUUCGUAGAUAUUCGCAAGAACACCAGUGGCGAAGGCGGCUCACUGGCCCGGUACUGACGCUGAGGUGCGAAAGCGUGGGGAGCAAACAGG
rnacentral:rRNA from 1 species